AGUUGAGUUGAGUUGAGUUGUUAUGAUGCCCUUGUGCCAUUGCCCUUGUUUGUCGAUUUUUGGAACCCUGCACUCUAAUAGCCACGGUCAAUAUAGAAUAAAUAUUCUGUUUUCUAUGCUAGUUGACCUUUAGUUAUUAUUAUUUUUCUUCAAUCUUGCAGUUGCACAAUAUGUAGCUAAAAUGUGAUUAUAUCUGGCUAGAUGCAUUUGAUACUUGAUAGCUACAAGCACUAAGGGGGACUUUGUGAGAUCCUUGCAACUCCUGAUCUUGUUGAAUUUAUCUGAAAUAGGGGUUUUGGCCAUGGUUAAAGUUGCCUUGGAUUGACUUUAGGAUGUUAAGUCGUGUUAUAAACUUAAAAUUAUCCUACAAGUCAUUUUUGCCAGCCUUUGAAAUUGAAGGUGGUUAAACUGGACAAUUGUUUUGUGUUAUGGUCUUGCUGAUGUUAUUAUGUCUAGAAGAGAACUUUUUCCUCUAAACUGUUGGAAAUCUAGUUUUGUUAUUUGAGCCUUUAUGUCAGGUUGGGCUUCCAAGUUCCAAACGCCUAAAUCUUGAAGGUUGGUGCUGAUGGGAUAAGUUUUAAUGUCAAUGGUUUAGUAGAGUGCUUGACUGGAAUGGGCAUUGGAUCAAAGUUCAUCUAAUGCUAUUUGCUAAAUGUUUCUGAAGUAGCCAAGGCAUAGCCUGUGUGCCUUUUUGUAUUUAUUUAUGUCAAAUAGAGUUUGAGAUGAAUUUCAAUAAUAUUCUUAAAAUCUGAAAAAACUAUAAAUUUGGAAACUUGAUUUUUGUCGCGAGUGUUUAUAAUAUGUUUGUAGGCACGUGGAGAGACAUUGAACUAACUACAACUAAUACUUUUAU
rnacentral:misc_RNA from 1 species